ACGUGAGGAACAUGACUUUCGGCGGGGGAUAGCCCGGCCCAACGGGCCGGGUAAUACCGCGUACGACCUCUCGGGGACAUCCCCGGUUGGUGAAAGCAGCAAUGCACCGAAAGAGUGCCUCGCGGCCUAUCAGCUAGUUGGUGGGGUAACGGCUCACCAAGGCGACGACGGGUAGCUGGUCUGAGAGGAUGGCCAGCCACAUUGGGACUGAGACACGGCCCAGACUCCUACGGGAGGCAGCAGUGGGGAAUAUUGCGCAAUGGGCGAAAGCCUGACGCAGCGACGCCGCGUGUGGGAUGACGGCCUUCGGGUUGUAAACCACUGUCGGGAGGGACGAAUGCGCCGCAAGGCGAGUGACGGUACCUCCAAAGGAAGCACCGGCUAACCCCGUGCCAGCAGCCGCGGUAAUACGGAGGGUGCGAGCGUUGUCCGGAAUCACUGGGCGUAAAGGGCGCG
rnacentral:rRNA from 1 species